rnacentral:rRNA from 1 species
UCUACGGGAGGCAGCAGUGGGGAAUAUUGGACAAUGGGCGAAAGCCUGAUCCAGCCAUGCCGCGUGUGUGAAGAAGGCCUUCGGGUUGUAAAGCACUUUCAGUGGGGAAGAAAGCCUUGGGGCUAAUACCCUCGAGGAAGGACAUCACCCACAGAAGAAGCACCGGCUAACUCCGUGCCAGCAGCCGCGGUAAUACGGAGGGUGCGAGCGUUAAUCGGAAUUACUGGGCGUAAAGCGCGCGUAGGCGGUCUGAUAAGCCGGUUGUGAAAGCCCCGGGCUCAACCUGGGAACGGCAUCCGGAACUGUCAGGCUAGAGUGCAGGAGAGGAAGGUAGAAUUCCCGGUGUAGCGGUGAAAUGCGUAGAGAUCGGAAGGAAUACCAGUGGCGAAGGCGGCCUUCUGGACUGACACUGACGCUGAGGUGCGAAAGCGUGGGUAGCAAACAGGAUUAGAUACCCUGGUAUC